rnacentral:misc_RNA from 1 species
CAAGGGGCGAAACGCGCACGAUGGUUGUUCGCGGCUUUCCCGCUCGGGCUGCUUGCGGGCGGGGCUUUAUCCCUCGUCCUGCCGAAUCCGCCUUUCAUCCCCGCCGUCAGUCUGGCGCUGAUUGCGAUCACCGGACUGGCCGGUGGCGGCGCCCUCCCUGUUCCCCUCCCGCGUUNNNNNNNNGCUUGCGGCAGUCAUGGGGCUGGUACACGGCUAUCAAAACGGGCGUGAGAUGACGGCAGCGACGGACCAUGUGCUGUUCAUUUCGGGCGUCACUGCUAUCGGAUACGCGAUCGUGACGAUGGCGACCGCGCUUGCCAUCGCGUUCCUGCAAGGCACCGCCGGAUGGCGUCCAAUCGCAUUGCGCGCGAGCGGGAG